CUUGCAGCUGCGCUGGCUCCUGCACCUGCAAAGCCUGCAGAUGCACCUCCUGCAAGAAGAGCUGCUGCUCCUGCUGCCCCGUGGGCUGCGCCAAGUGUGCCCAGGGCUGCGUCUGCAAAGGGGCCUCGGACAAGUGCAGCUGCUGUGCCUGAUGUCGCGGAGAGCCUGCCCCGGGUGGCAACAGAGCAACCAGGACGAACCUGCAUUUUACCGUUUUUCAUACAGCCGGACCUGACGCUACAUUCCUUUUUCUAUGAAAUAUGUGAGCUGUAAUAAAAGUUGUUGACUUCA